GUCUACGGCCAUACUACCCUGAACACACCUGAUCUCAUCUGAUUUUGGAAGCUAAGCGAGGUUGGACGUGGUUAGCACUUGGAUGGGAGGACACUGCUUAUUUUAGCAG
ensembl:rRNA 5S_rRNA 5S ribosomal RNA